UUGAAGGGAAAUGUGUUAGCUUUUUCUCUCACUUAUUAGGGAUUAUUAGAUUUUAUGUCUUUCCCUUUCACUUGGAUAUUUUUGGAAUACACUCUUUUUCAUUAGCUAGGAUAAGAAUGGAGACGACGUGGGGUCAAAAUUAUUCCAAAGAAUGAAGGAAAAGAGAAGCAACAAUUUCUACAAUAACUCAACCCCCUCGCCUCCACUAAAUUAGCUUCCCAUGUGUUGCAAUGUAGGGGCAUAGAAAAUGAGCCAAAAUAUAGAGAUUCAACACGUGUCCUAAAUACAAUUUAAUUGGACAAGCUUUAUCUAUGAUCAACUGUUUCGCUCUUUAGUCUUCUUCUUCUUUUCGCGAGUUUAAAAAAAAUUUCUCCAUUCAACUUUAGUAUGGUAAAUACUGGAGCUAAAUGUAACGAUCCUUAUAUAUACAUAUCUAAAGAGGUUUUUCAUUUGUGUUGGAUUGUA